GUCCGUAUAGCAUAGUGGUAGUGCAUCCGCUUUACAUGUGGAAUUAUCGGUUCGCGGAAGGUCCUAGGUUCGAUCCCUAGUGCGGACA